rnacentral:rRNA from 1 species
AGGCUUAACACAUGCAAGUCGAGCGGAAACGAUGAUAGCUUGCUAUCAGGCGUCGAGCGGUGGACGGGUGAGUAAUACUUAGGAAUCUACCUAGUAGUGGGGGAUAGCUCGGGGAAACUCGAAUUAAUACCGCAUACGUCCUACGGGAGAAAGCAGGGGAUCAUUGGACCUUGCGCUAUUAGAUGAGCCUAAGUCGGAUUAGCUAGAUGGUGGGGUAAAGGCCUACCAUGGCGACGAUCUGUAGCUGGUCUGAGAGGAUGAUCAGCCACACCGGGACUGAGACACGGCCCGGACUCCUACGGGAGGCAGCAGUGGGGAAUAUUGGACAAUGGGGGGAACCCUGAUCCAGCCAUGCCGCGUGUGUGAAGAAGGCCUUUUGGUUGUAAAGCACUUUAAGCAGUGAAUAAGACUCUUCGGUUAAUACCCGGGGACGAUGACAUUAGCUGCAGAAUAAGCACCGGCUAACUCUGUGCCAGCAGCCGCGGUAAUACAGAGGGUGCAAGCGUUAAUCGGAAUUACUGGGCGUAAAGCGAGCGUAGGUGGCUUGAUAAGUCAGAUGUGAAAUCCCCGGGCUUAACCUGGGAACUGCAUCUGAAACUGUUAGGCUAGAGUAGGUGAGAGGGAAGUAGAAUUUCAGGUGUAGCGGUGAAAUGCGUAGAGAUCUGAAGGAAUACCGAUGGCGAAGGCAGCUCCUGGCAUCAUACUGACACUGAGGUUCGAAAGCGUGGGUAGCAAACAGGAUUAGAUUCUCUGGUAGUCCACGCCGUAAA